rnacentral:lncRNA from 1 species
AGUUAUAUACUCAAAGUUCUAUAGAUAAUGCAUGUCAUAAUCUGUUGAAAAUGCAUUUCAUGUAUUGUUGGUUUAUUUAUGUUAGUAAAAUACUAUGUGAACUACUAUCCUAUCUUUUCUGCUAGUCAAUUUAGAUGAAAAAACUGUGUUGUCUUAUUCAUUUCCUUUUUGUUAAUAAAUUCAUAUGUUGUUUCUCUCGGUCAUUGAAUGUUCACAUGGACAAAUGUGUCUGUCGUUGUGAUUAUUUAUUUGCCAUGCACAAUUGUUUCAUGCAUCUGUUAUAGUCUUAUUUAUAUUUAUGUUACUGUGGUGUGCUGUUUCAAUACCUAUUUUACACGCACAAUGUAAUGGUUUAUGUGCUGUUUCAAUACCUAUUUUACACGCACAAUGUAAUGGUUUAUUGAAAUCUGCACCUUAAUUUUGCUGUGGUCUUAAAUUCAUGUUGCUUUGCAUAAUUUAGGUAUGCAGAUACGGGUAACUACCAUCCACCUUCAUCAUGGUCAUCUUCUUAACAGGUGUAAUGAGCAGUCUUUUAUCUUGAGAACUUUAAUCCCUGCGGCUUGCGAAGUGAGCCUCUGACCAUCAGCUUGUUCUCCAGAUUGAUGAAGGGGUCACAACGGGAUACCUCUCUGUCUGUGCCUUGAUAAGCACACCAAUAUAGUGUUGAUUUUGUCAAGAAGUUCUAGAAAAACUAUAAGUUCACUUUAUAAAAUUGAAUCAUUAAUUGGUGUUUGACAGUGAUUUUAUUCUCAUCGCUUUUGUCAAAAGAAAUUUGUUAUCCUAGUUUUGGACUCCACUGCUACUCAGUCCUAAAAAAAGAAUAACUUUGAAGCAUUUA